rnacentral:rRNA from 1 species
GCUCUGUGGGAUCAGUGGCGAACGGGUGAGUAACACGUGAGCAACCUGCCCCUGACUCUGGGAUAAGCGCUGGAAACGGCGUCUAAUACUGGAUAUGUGACGUGACCGCAUGGUCUGCGUUUGGAAAGAUUUUUCGGUUGGGGAUGGGCUCGCGGCCUAUCAGCUUGUUGGUGAGGUAAUGGCUCACCAAGGCGUCGACGGGUAGCCGGCCUGAGAGGGUGACCGGCCACACUGGGACUGAGACACGGCCCAGACUCCUACGGGAGGCAGCAGUGGGGAAUAUUGCACAAUGGGCGGAAGCCUGAUGCAGCAACGCCGCGUGAGGGAUGACGGCCUUCGGGUUGUAAACCUCUUUUAGCAGGGAAGAAGCGAAAGUGACGGUACCUGCAGAAAAAGCGCCGGCUAACUACGUGCCAGCAGCCGCGGUAAUACGUAGGGCGCAAGCGUUAUCCGGAAUUAUUGGGCGUAAAGAGCUCGUAGGCGGUUUGUCGCGUCUGCUGUGAAAUCCCGAGGCUCAACCUCGGGCCUGCAGUGGGUACGGGCAGACUAGAGUGCGGUAGGGGAGAUUGGAAUUCCUGGUGUAGCGGUGGAAUGGGCAGAUAUCAGGGGGAACACCGAUGGGGGAGGCAGAUCUCUGGGCCGUAACUGACGCUGAGGAGCGAAAGGGUGGGG